AUCACCUUUCGAGUGGGUUUUUGGAGUUUUGAAGUGUGUCAAAACCUUCGAGAUUUCAAAAUUUUCGCUCUUUUGGUGUACUUUCUCGUAGGUAGGUUAACAUCGAUUUUGAUCAUCAUAAAAGGGUUGGAGGAAUGUAGCUUCGAUCUCGUAUUGAAGUGUUAUAGCCUUUGAUAAAUGUGAUGAUUAGGAUCGAGGAUUGCAACGAAUACCCUUUUGGGCUAUCCGCCUGAUCUCUGAUACGUGGCCUUGGUAUUGAAAGCGUGCUUAUGAUAUUAAGGUAUUACGGUCAAAAGGUUAGAACGGAUUACAUUCGUUAAGGAUGUUGACGUAAUGGCUUU
rnacentral:rRNA from 1 species